AGAAAGAAACGGAAUAGAGGCGACUCAUAAACCCUAAUUCGCAAAACCUCCUCUAUAUAACAACAUAACACCACCAUUGUUACCGUCACUCACAUCCUGAUCCAGUUAAUCCUAAAUCCCAACACCAACAAUUGUUCUGAUUUCAUCGCAUUAAUCUGUUUUCUUUACCGUCGAUUGUAUAAUGCGGCGGUUGUCGAUGAUGAAAAAUUCAAGGCUUGUUUCUCAUGAACAUUCGCAGUGGCCGCCUGAUUGAGCUUUCGCCUUCGCCAGGCUUGAGAGCUCGUGUUGCUACUUUCCUUCCUUGGAUGUCUGAGAUCCCCCGCCAAUCUUCAUAUCCACACUUCUCAAAUCGUAUUUUAUCUCAUUUUCUUAAUUAUUAUUUUUUUCUCAAUUGGGUGUUUUCUACCCCUUUCGCAAAUAUCCUAUUGAUUUUGGAUUGGAAUGAUAUUCCCUGAUUUUCAAAUCACUAGUCUGACUGAUUUUACAAGUUGCUGAUCAUUUACGGGUGGGAGCUCUGGUUUUUUAAUCCAAAUUAGUUUAUUAGUUGUUUUGAUUUUAUUUAUAGUUAGAAUUGAUUAUGAAACUGAUGAUGAUAAUCCAAAGGCUUGUUUCUCAGAGACAUUCGCAGUGGCCGCCUAAGAACUUUCGCCUUCGCCAGGCUUGAGAGUUAAUGCUGCUUUUUUCCUUCCUUGGAUGUCUGAAGUUUUAAUUUAUUUAUAUUUAUUGUGGGUUUCUCAGUGAUGAUUUCAUAGAUGACGAGUCUGAUAUAUCCAUUCCAUUCAUCAUGAAGACCAAUCGAGGCAUUUGUCUGAGAGAUACCCUUCGUUCUUGAAAAACUGUCAGGAGACUUUUGUAUAGGUUGCAAGAUUGUAAGGAAGCCAUAAACUGUAGGUUGCAAGAUUUGAUGAAAGCCACACUUAGGGGCUGUUUGUCUUUUUUGGGAAGAGCACAUAUGCCCUUGUGUUUGAUUUUUGGAAGUGCACCGACCAAAAAAACCAAAAAAAGAGUUAGGUCUUCCAGGCGUAGACAUGGGUCACAUAGCUGCAGACAUUAAAAACAAAGUCUUCUUAUUGCAGACUGGAGACAUUUGAUCCACCUGCCGUAGAGGCUUGCAGUUGUGGUCUGCGUGGUCUGCAGAAUACAGUCAUUUUGGCUUCAAAAAAACAAACACACCUUAGUUUUAGACUGGUAUAUGUUGUUGCAUGAUGCGGUCAUGUUUGUUAUUUUGUUGGUAGUACUAAAUAUAAAGUUCCUUAAUAAUUAAGGAAUUGUGAUUAUUUUAAUUAUGAUUUUUUCUAUAUUCAUGUAUGCGUAAGAAAUUUAUAACAAGGUUAUCCGCGGUUUGCAGCGAUUCUAA